UGGCUUUCGUCCCUCACUGUCGGAUCCGUUCUCGCGACGUGCUUUCGCCAUCGGCGGUCCGUCCAGGAUUACGGGAUUUCACUCCUACCCCGGACGUACCCGUCGCGCCUUCCGGUCCCAAGCCACGCAGUUUCUACCGGGCGCCCACCUGUUGAGCAGGUGGAUUUCCCGAUGGACUUGCGCGGCCAGCUACGGACGCUUUAGGCCCAAUAAGAUCGGCCAUCACUUGGGCUGCCGGUAUUACCGCGGCGGCUGGCACCGGUCUUGCCCAGCCCUUAUUCUGGUACCGCCUUAGGGUACCGAAAAGCACAGGCGCUAUGCCUGUGCACUUGGGAUCCCCCUAUCGCACUGUCGUGCAGUGUAAAGGUUUCGCGCCUGCUGCGCCCCGUAGGGCCCGGAAUCUUGUCUCAGAUUCCGUCUCUGGGUUCUCACUCUCAUGACCCAUACCGAUUAUUGGCACGGUGGGCCGUUACCCCACCGUCUACCUAAUCGGCCGCAGCCACAUCCUUCGGCGCCGGAGCGUUUGGCAUACCACUCAUUCCAGUGGUGGUAUGGUAUACACUAUUAGCCUCAGUUUCCCGAGGGUAUUGUGUUCCGAAGGGUAGUUUGGCCACGUGUUACUGAGCUAUUCGCCAC
rnacentral:rRNA from 1 species